rnacentral:tRNA from 1 species
CUUCUCGUGGUGUAGUGGGAACGCGCCUGUCUAAUGAGUAGGAGUCGUGAGUUCAAGUCUCACCGAAAGUA